AAGUCGAGCGGAAAGGCCCCUUCGGGGGUACUCGAGCGGCGAACGGGUGAGUAACACGUGAGCAACCUGCCCCUGACUCUGGGAUAAGCCCGGGAAACUGGGUCUAAUACCGGAUAUAACCACUGGUCUCAUGAUCGGGUGGUGGAAAGUUUUUCGGUUGGGGAUGGGCUCGCGGCCUAUCAGCUUGUUGGUGGGGUGAUGGCCUACCAAGGCGACGACGGGUAACCGGCCUGAGAGGGCGACCGGUCACACUGGGACUGAGACACGGCCCAGACUCCUACGGGAGGCAGCAGUGGGGAAUAUUGCGCAAUGGGCGGAAGCCUGACGCAGCGACGCCGCGUGAGGGAUGACGGCCUUCGGGUUGUAAACCUCUUUCAGCAGGGACGAAGCUAACGUGACGGUACCUGCAGAAGAAGCGCCGGCUAACUACGUGCCAGCAGCCGCGGUAAUUCAA
rnacentral:rRNA from 1 species